GUAGGGAAUAUUGGGCAAUGGAAGGAAUUCUGACCCAGCCAUGCCGCGUGCAGGAAUACAGUCCUAUGGACUUUAAACUGCUUUUAUUAUAGAGUAACCUGGGGGACGUGUCCCCCACUGCAAGUAUAUAAUGAAUAAGCAUCGGCUAACUCCGUGCCAGCAGCCGCGGUAAUACGGGGGAUGCAAGCGUUAUCCGGAUUUAUUGGGUUUAAAGGGUGCGCAGGCUUAUCGGUAAGUCAUGGGUGAAAAGUCACUGCUUAACAGUGAUCGUGCCUAUGAUACUGCCGGACUAGAGUUUAAGAGGUGUAACUGGAAUGUGAUGUGUAGCGGUGAAAUGCUUAGAUAUGUCACAGAACGCCAAUCGUGAAGGCAGGUUACAAACUUAAUACUGACGCUCAUGCACGAAAGCGUGGGGAUCAAACAGGAUUAGAAACCCCAGUAGUCC
rnacentral:rRNA from 1 species